GGGGGUGCCAUGGAUUCGAUUGUGUAUUGUAGAUCAACAUUGCAUGUCGGAGUUGACGGUCGGCUUCGUUACCAAACCGUUAAAUAGAUAAAUGGCAACAAUGUCAUAAAUGUUGACUUCAGCAAUGGAGUCAACAAAGCUGCAGCUUAGCCGCAGCGUAUCAUCCUGCCUGAUGCUCGAUGGGGUGGGUAUGGUGUCGAUUUAUCGAGCGUCUCCGUGGAAUUUCGCGGUGUUCCAUGGGGAUAAUUUGCACUGCGAUGGUCCUAAUGUGAUGUGCCGAUGCAUGAUAUUAGGAUGAGAGUCAAUCAUUGGACAAACAUGUAGGCGUGUUUUUCGAAGAUACACAAGACGCGGGUUCAAUUCCCGCCACCUCCACCA
rnacentral:tmRNA from 1 species